UACGAAGGGGGCUAGCGUUGUUCGGAUUUACUGGGCGUAAAGCGCACGUAGGCGGAUCGUUAAGUGAGGGGUGAAAUCCCAGGGCUCAACCCUGGAACUGCCUUUGAUACUGGGGAUCUCGAGUCCGGAAGAGGUGAGUGGAACUGCGAGUGUAGAGGUGAAAUUCGUAGAUAUUCGCAAGAACACCAGUGGCGAAGGCGGCUCACUGGCCCGAUACUGACGCUGAGGCACGAAAGCGUGGGGAGCAAACAGG
rnacentral:rRNA from 1 species